UAAUGGGAGGUAAACUCCUUCUAAAGCUAAAUAUUGGCGAGAGACCGAUAGCGAACAAGUACCGUGAGGGAAAGAUGAAAAGAACUCUGAAAAGAGAGUCAAACAGAACGUGAAAUUGCUGAAAGGGAAGCGUUUGGAGUCAGAUGCAUCCUCAAUGUAAUACGGCUCAGUUGGCAGAGACUGAGAGCAGUGACUUGAAGAUGGGCCAGCACUCACGUAGAUCAUUGGAGAAGGGGUCAUGGAAUGUAGCUCAAUUCUUGAGUGUUUAUAGACUUGAUUCAUAUACAAUGUGUCUUAUGUGUGUUAAUUGACAGCACGAGUC
rnacentral:rRNA from 1 species